rfam:Culex pipiens quinquefasciatus supercont3.1498 genomic scaffold, whole genome shotgun sequence.
GUGGCUGACUGGUUACGGUGUUCGCUUUGUAAGCGAAUGUUUCUGGGUUCGAUUCCCAUC